rnacentral:rRNA from 1 species
GAUGAACGCUGGCGGCGUGCCUAAUACAUGCAAGUCGAGCGAACAGACGAGGCGCUUGCUCCUCUGACGUUACCGACGGACGGGUAAGUAACACGUGGAUAACCUACCUCUAAGACUGGAUCACUUGGAGAAACCGGUGCUACUACCGGAGAAUAUAUUGAACCGCAUGGUUCAAUAGUGAAAGUCGGUGUUGCUGUAGCUCAUAGAUGAAUCCGCGCUGCAUUAGCUAGUUGGUAAGGUAACGGCUUACCAAGGCGACGAUGCGUAGCCGACCUGAGAGGGUGAACGGCCACACUGGGACUGAGACACGGUCCAGACUCCUACGGGAGGCAGAAGUAGGGAAUCUUCCGCAAUGGGCGAAAGCCUGACGGAGCAACGCCGCGUGAGUGAUGAAGGUCUUCGUAUCGUAAAACUCUGUUAUUAGGGAAGAACACAUGUGUAAGUAACUAUGCACGUCUUGACGGUACCUAAUCAGAAAGCCACGGCUAACUACGUG